rnacentral:rRNA from 1 species
UACGGGGGGGGCAAGCGUUGUUCGGAGUUACUGGGCGUAAAGGGCUCGUAGGCGGCCAACUAAGUCGGAUGUGAAAUCCCCAGGCUUAACCUGGGAACUGCGUCCGAUACUGGCAGGCUUGAAUCCGGGAGAGGGAUGCGGAAUUCCAGGUGUAGCGGUGAAAUGCGUAGAUAUCUGGAGGAACACCGGUGGCGAAGGCGGCAUCCUGGACCGGCAUUGACGCUGAGGCGCGAAAGCCAGGGGAGCAAACGGG